rnacentral:rRNA from 1 species
UCUCCUCCUUCUCCUUCUCUUUCUCCUCCUUUUUCUCCCUCUCUUUCUCCUCCUCCUUCUCCUCCUUCUUCUCCUCUUUCUUUUUCUCAACCUUUUUCUCAGUCUC